CCUACGGGUGGCAGCAGUCGAGAAUCAUUCACAAUGGGGGAAACCCUGAUGGUGCGACGCCGCGUGGGGGAAUGAAGGUCUUCGGAUUGUAAACCCCUGUCAUGUGGGAGCAAAUUAAAAAGAUAGUACCACAAGAGGAAGAGACGGCUAACUCUGUGCCAGCAGCCGCGGUAAUACAGAGGUCUCAAGCGUUGUUCGCAAUAACUGGGCGUAAAGCGUGCGUAGGCUGUUUCGUAAGUCGUGUGUGAAAGGCGCGGGCUCAACCCGCGGACGGCACAUGAUACUGCGAGACGAGAGGAAUGGAGGGGGAACUGGAAUUCUCGGUGUAGCAGUGAAAUGCGUAGAUAGCGAGAGGAACACUCGUGGCGAAGGCGGGUUCCUGGACAUUAACUGACGCUGAGGCACGAAGGCCAGGGGAGCGAAAGGGAUUAGAUACCCGAGUAGUC
rnacentral:rRNA from 1 species